rnacentral:rRNA from 1 species
GACGAACGCUGGCGGCGUGCUUAACACAUGCAAGUCGAACGGACAGGCCCUGCUUUUGUGGGGUGCUCGAGUGGCGAACGGGUGAGUAACACGUGAGUAACCUGCCCUUGACUUUGGGAUAACUUCAGGAAACUGGGGCUAAUACCGGAUAGGAGCUCCUGCUGCAUGGUGGGGGUUGGAAAGUUUCGGCGGUUGGGGAUGGACUCGCGGCUUAUCAGCUUGUUGGUGGGGUAGUGGCUUACCAAGGCUUUGACGGGUAGCCGGCCUGAGAGGGUGACCGGCCACAUGGGGACUGAGAUACGGCCCAGACUCCUACGGGAGGCAGAAGUGGGGAAUAUUGCACAAUGGGCGGAAGCCUGAUGCAGCAACGCCGCGUGCGGGAUGACGGCCUUCGGGUUGUAAACCGCUUUCGCCUGUGACGAAGCGUGAGUGACGGUAAUGGGUAAAGAAGCACCGGCUAACUACGUG